GGCUCGGUAGCGGAUGUUCCGCAUCUGCUUUGAAUCCGCGGUGAAGACAAGAGUAAUGCAGACCCCGCCUGUUCAACUCAGGCCUGAGCCG